GCUCCAGGUACCUGCCAGAGUGCUCCCCAUGCUGUAAACUAUUGGUCUUUACAGAGAGCUGGGAGAAGGCACUGUUUUUCGCGUUUUACAGAAUAUGCAGAGAGGUUCAGCGACUUGCCCCAGGCCACACAGAGGCACAAAGAUGCAGACCUGUGGUGUCUGCAUCGGGGACGCCUGUAGUGUCGUGAGGGGAAUGGCAUCCACAGAGUUCCCGACAGGUAGACCCAGGACACUUAGGUAAGGUCCCAAGCCGUGUGUCCCAAGGGAUGGGCUUCUUUCCAUCCCUGGCUCGGCCUCUCUCCCGGGAACCAGAGGCGCCCCAGGAGGGAGGCUGAAGGUAAAGCGACACCUGGAUACCAAACAUCCUCAUGGCGACCUUUCUGGAUGAUCAGCCACAAAGCGGAGGUGAGAAAUGGGAGCUGGAGCAGGCAGGGCCAGGCUCCCAGAGCCAACCCCGAGGCUAGGGGAGCAGGGCUAUGGAGUGGCACAGUGGCCCCGGCCACAGAAGGGCAGGCAUAGGUGUUUCCUGCACAGCCUCACUCCAUGUCUUGGGAGGGGUAUCAGAGAGGGUAGAGACUGGAAAAGGACUGUGAGGAAAUUCACAAGCUCAUUGUGACUGGGAGAGCCCCGCGGGACAACACCCAGCAUGUCAGGGAUGCACUGGAGCCGUGGCCCCAGAAAUCUGGAAACGAACCCUCGAUUCCGGACAACCAGGGCUGGCUCUGAGGUGCAGCACUGAGCAAGGCUGGUGACUCCUGCGUGCCCAGAGCUCAUGCUGCAGCGGAGGUGACAUGGCACCUGGGUAUGUGACAGCCUCCAUGUGGUGACGGGAGGGCACCUGCUGGCACCUCCCCCUCCGGGGCCAGUGUGACGUGUGAACAGGUCCCUGUGUCCCAGCAGCAAGCAGGUCCUGGUCCACACACGGACGACUGAAGGACUGCACUUCUGAAGUGGGGGACAGGGAGGGGAGGGGCAGGAGAGGAAGGAAGAGGAGGAGCUGCUGGACUUCUGACUUUUUUUAUGGCUUUGCCCAGCAAGGAAGUCUGGAAUUCACAUUAACAUAAACUAUAAACGCAGAAUCAGUUGAUGAGGACAGUUAGUGAGGAGAUGGUCUUUUGGGGAUAAAAUCUGGCAGGAUUGCUGACCUGGACUCUGUCAUCUAAAGUUCUCACACAAAUGACCAUUACGUUGUGAUGCAUGAAACAAGUAACUUAAUAUGUAUUUUUGUCUGAGUAUAAAAUCAUUGUGUUCACUUUGGAAAAUAUAGAAAAUAAAAAUAAAAUAUACUUUAACAGCA
rnacentral:lncRNA from 1 species